rnacentral:rRNA from 1 species
GACGAACGCUGGCGGCGUGCUUAACACAUGCAAGUCGAACGGAAAGGCCCUGCUUGCAGGGUACUCGAGUGGCGAACGGGUGAGUAACACGUGGGUGAUCUGCCCUGCACUUCGGGAUAAGCCUGGGAAACUGGGUCUAAUACCGGAUAUGACCUUCCAUGUAGUGUGGGGGGUGGAAAGAUUUAUCGGUGUGGGGUGAGCCCGCGGCCUAUCAGCUUGUUGGUGGGGUAAUGGCCUACCAAGGCGUCGACGGGUAGCCGGCCUGAGAGGGUGGACGGCCACAUUGGGACUGAGAUACGGCCCAGACUCCUACGGGAGGCAGCAGUGGGGAAUAUUGCACAAUGGGCGGAAGCCUGAUGCAGCGACGCCGCGUGGGGGAUGACGGCCUUCGGGUUGUAAACCUCUUUCGACAGGGACGAAGCUUCGGUGACGGUACCUGUAUAAGAAGCACCGGCUAACUACGUG